GACGAACGCUGGCGGCGUGCUUAACACAUGCAAGUCGAACGGGAAGGCCCUGCUUUUGUGGGGUGCUCGAGUGGCGAACGGGUGAGUAACACGUGAGUAACCUGCCCUUGACUUUGGGAUAACUUCAGGAAACUGGGGCUAAUACCGGAUAGGAGCUCCUGCUGCAUGGUGGGGGUUGGAAAGUUUCGGCGGUUGGGGAUGGACUCGCGGCUUAUCAGCUUGUUGGUGGGGUAGUGGCUUACCAAGGCUUUGACGGGUAGCCGGCCUGAGAGGGUGACCGGCCACAUUGGGACUGAGAUACGGCCCAGACUCCUACGGGAGGCAGCAGUGGGGAAUAUUGCACAAUGGGCGGAAGCCUGAUGCAGCAACGCCGCGUGCGGGAUGACGGCCUCCGGGUUGUAAACCGCUUUCGCCUGUGACGAAGCGUGAGUGACGGUAAUGGGUAAAGAAGCACCGGCUAACUACGUG
rnacentral:rRNA from 1 species